rnacentral:misc_RNA from 1 species
AAAAUAAUCCUACCCUUUGUGAAUUUUGUUUGUUUGAAUAAUUUUUUUUUUUAAAAAAUUAUUGGAGUCUUUCCCUUUAGAGUUUGCUUUUGAGUUUGUAAAAGAAUUCGAAAACAUCUAAAGGGGAUGGUCAAUAAUUUUUUUUGAAAAAAGACAUUUUUUAAAAUUAAACUUUUUGUAUUCAUUUGUCUAAAAAUUAUUUUUAUAAUAUAAAAACAACUUUUGACAAUGGAUCUCUUGGUUCUCGCAACGAUGAAGAACGCAGCAAAAUGCGAUAAGUAGUGUGAAUUGCAGAAUACGUGAAUCAUCGAAUCUUUGAACGCAUAUUACACUUUUUUAGUUUACUAAAAAAGUAUGUCUGUUUGAGUAUCAGUAAAAUAUUCUCAUAAAAAUCAUUGUAUUUUUAUGGUUAUGAGUGUUUUACAACGAUACAAGUUGUUUCACUUUAAAUUUUUUUUAAUAUUGAAAUUUUUCUAAUUUUAAUAAUUAAAAUUGGAUAAAAUUUUCCCGUCAAAAGGAAUAACCUAAACAAUUUUAAAUGAUUAAUUUUAGCAAAAUUUUCGUAAAAAAGGAAAUUUUUAUUAAAAUAACUUGAUCUCAAAUCAGAUAAGAGUACCCGCUGAACUUAGGCAUAUCAAUAAGCGGAGGAAAAGAACUAACAAGGAUUCCCUUAGUAACGGCGAGUGAAGCGGGAAGAGCUCAAAUUUGAAAUCUUCAAGGUUUUACCUUGACGAAUUGUAGUUUAAAGAAGUGUUUUCUGCUGAAGUUUUGGUAAAAGUUCUUUGGAAUAGGACAUCAUAGAGGGUGAGAAUCCCGUAUUUGACCAUUAUUUUCAGCUUUGUGAUACACUUUCAAAGAGUCGGAUUGUUUGGGAAUGCAGUCCAAAAUGGGUGGUAAAUUUCAUCUAAAGCUAAAUAUUGGCGAGAGACCGAUAGCGAACAAGUACCGUGAGGGAAAGAUGAAAAGAACUUUGAAAAGAGAGUUAAACAGUACGUGAAAUUGUCAAAAGGGAAGCGUUUGACACCAGUGUUGUUUUCUCGAAAAUCAAUUAAAAAUGGCUCGAUUUUGUAUUGCUGAGACCUUAAAAGCUCACUGUACAUUUUUCGUGUCUUUUUUAAUGCACUUUUCGUUUAACAAGUCAACAUCAGUUUCUUUUGUUGUAAAAGGGUCAUUGGAAGGUGGCUUUCUUUUCGGAGAAAGUGUUUAUAGCCUUUGGCCUCUGCAAUCGGAGAGACUGAGGUCUGCAGCGUAGACUCUUCGGGGUUAGAUACAUUUGUGCUAAGUUAUAGCUUUUUAUAGACAACUUGUUGACUAUAAUUAGUCUUGUAGCUUACUCGCUUAUGCUAUUUUACCUACGCUUAGGAUG